GCAGUGACUCAUUGUAAACCUCCUCCUGUAACAGGGCAUAUGAGAUCCAUGAUGGUCAAGUGGUAAGUUCCAGCUCUCUGAUUGCUAGUUGUCAUGGCAGCACUCAGAUACUGUCAGUAAUAGUUCUGGAGCUCUUGAGAGGGAUAUGCAAGGUCUGCACCCAAUAAAGGCACAGACCAGAAGGUCUCUGGGUCCCUGUGCAGUGAGUGUACUGGGCCAUUGAGGAACAUCUUUGAGCUCCC